UACAGAGGAGCCAAGCGUUGUCCGGAUUGACUGGGCGUAAAGCGCACGCAGGCGGUUGCGCGCGUGGGGUGUGAAAUCUGGCCGCUUAACGGCCAGGCGCCAUCCCAUACGGCGCGACUGGAGUGAUGCAGAGGUCGAUGGAAUUGCCGGUGUAGUGGUGAAAUGCGCAGAUAUCAGGAGGAACACCGGUGGCGAAGGCGGGUCUCUGGGCCGAUACUGACGCUGAAGCGCGAAAGCUAGGGGAGCGAACGGG
rnacentral:rRNA from 1 species